AAAUAGAAUAUCACAACUGUUUUGUCUUUUCUGCAGUUAUCUUAUUUUGACAAAUCAGACUACCUAUGAACUUGUAAGGAGAAGACGGAUUCCUUACCUAAGGUCAAUUCCGGAAAGAGUGCAUCCAUUCAGCAAAGUAAUUUGUGGAAAUUUAUACAACUUCUGCUGUGCCAGGAGCAGCAUAUACAGUUUAGAACCACUUCCUAUCCCUCAAGAGAUAGAGGAAAAGUCAAGACCAUAUACAUGCUUGGAUGUCAUUAAUUGUCGAUGUUGCUGAUAGUUUUUGUGUAAGUGAAAGUCUGUUCGUCCAACAGUUUAAUUGUGAAAACUAAGGAAUUUGUCAAUGCACCUUUGCUUAGAUGGGUAGGUUUUAUCUUUAGGCGAUUUGGUUUGUGAUUUAUCUUCUGUUAUUCA